rnacentral:rRNA from 1 species
AGAGUUUGAUCCUGGCUCAGAUUGAACGCUGGCGGCAGGCUUAACACAUGCAAGUCGAACGGUAACAGAAAGUAGCUUGCUAUUUUGCUGACGAGUGGCGGACGGGUGAGGAAUGCUUGGGAAUUUACCUUAUGGGGGGGGGAUAAUUGAUGGAAACGUCUUGUAAUACCUUAUAUGCCUUUUGAACCAUAAGUAAGCAAGGGAAAUAUUUAUAGCUUUGAGAUGGGACUGUACGGUAUCAGUUUGUUGGUGAGGUAAUGGCUCACCAAGACUAUGACGCCUAACUGGUUUGAGAGGAUGAUCAGUCACACUGGAACUGAGACACGGUCCAGACUCCUACGGGAGGCAGCAGUGGGGAAUAUUGCACAAUGGAGGAAACUCUGAUGCAGCAACGCCGCGUGGAGGAUGACACAUUUCGGUGCGUAAACUCCUUUUAUUAGGGAAGAUAAUGACGGUACCUAAUGAAUAAGCACCGGCUAACUCCGUGCCAGCAGCCGCGGUAAUACGGGGGGUGCAAGCGUUACUCGGAAUCACUGGGCGUAAAGAGCAUGUAGGCUGGUUAUUAAGUUGGAAGUGAAAUCCUAUAGCUUAACUAUAGAACUGCUUCCAAAACUGAUAGCCUAGAGUAUGGGAGAGGUAGAUGGAAUUUCUGGUGUAGGGGUAAAAUCCGUAGAGAUCAGAAGGAAUACCGAUUGCGAAGGCGAUCUACUGGAACAUUACUGACGCUGAGAUGCGAAAGCGUGGGGAGCAAACAGGAUUAGAUACCCUGGUAGUCCACGCCCUAAACGAUGAAUGUUAGUCGUCGGGAUGCAAGUCAUUUCGGUGAUGCAGUUAACACAUUAAACAUUCCGCCUGGGGAGUACGGUCGCAAGAUUAAAACUCAAAGGAAUAGACGGGGACCCGCACAAGUGGUGGAGCAUGUGGUUUAAUUCGAAAAUACGCGAAGAACCUUACCUAGCCUUGACAUUGAUAGAAUCUUCCAGAGAUGGAGGAGUGCCUUUCGGGGAACUUGAAAACAGGUGCUGCACGGCUGUCGUCAGCUCGUGUCGUGAGAUGUUGGGUUAAGUCCCGCAACGAGCGCAACCCUCGUCCCUAGUUACUAACAGUUCGGCUGAGGACUCUAAUGAGACUGCCUUCGUAAGGAGGAGGAAGGUGAGGACGACGUCAAGUCAUCAUGGCCCUUACGGCUAGGGCGACACACGUGCUACAAUGGUUAGGACAAUGAGAAGCGAUACCGCGAGGUGGAUCAAAUCUAUAAACCUAAUCUCAGUUCGGAUUGUAGUCUGCAACUCGACUACAUGAAGCUGGAAUCACUAGUAAUCGUAGAUCAGCCAUGCUACGGUGAAUACGUUCCCGGGUCUUGUACUCACCGCCCGUCACACCAUGGGAGUUGAUUUCACCCGAAGCGGGGAAGCUAAACUGGCUACCCUCCACGGUGGAAUUAGCGACUGGGGUGAAGUCGUAACAAGGUAACC